ACUCAAAGGAAUUGACGGGGACCCGCACAAGCGGUGGAUGAUGUGGAUCAAUUCGAUGCAACGCGAAGAACCUUACCUACCCUUGACAUGCCAGGAAGCCCGAUGAGAGUUGGGUGUGCCCGAAAGGGAGCCUGGACACAGGUGCUGCAUGGCUGUCGUCAGCUCGUGUCGUGAGAUGUUGGGUUAAGUCCCGCAACGAGCGCAACCCUUGUCACUAGUUGCUACGGCAACGGGCACUCUAGUGAGACUGCCGGUGACAAACCGGAGGAAGGUGGGGAUGACGUCAAGUCCUCAUGGCCCUUAUGGGUAGGGCUUCACACGUCAUACAAUGGCGCAUACAGAGGGCUGCCAACCCGCGAGGGGGAGCCAAUCCCAGAAAGUGCGUCGUAGUCCGGAUUGCAGUCUGCAACUCGACUGCAUGAAGUCGGAAUCGCUAGUAAUCGCGGAUCAGCAAUGUCGCGGUGAAUACGUUCCCGGGUCUUGUACACACCGCCCGU
rnacentral:rRNA from 1 species